rnacentral:misc_RNA from 1 species
GAUGAAGAACGCAGCGAAAUGCGAUAAGUAAUGCGAAUUGCAGAAUUCAGUGAGUCAUCGAAUCUUUGAACGCACAUUGCGCCCGCCAGUAUUCUGGCGGGCAUGCCUGUUCGAGCGUCAUUACAACCCUCAGGCCCCCGGGCCUGGCGUUGGGGAUCGGCGGAAGCCCCCUGCGGGCACAACGCCGUCCCCCAAAUACAGUGGCGGUCCCGCCGCAGCUUCCAUUGCGUAGUAGCUAACACCUCGCAACUGGAGAGCGGCGCGGCCACGCCGUAAAACACCCAACUUCUGAAUGUUGACCUCGAAUCAGGUAGGAAUACCCGCUGAACUUAAGCAUAUCAAUAAGCGGAGGA